CUAAAGGCCUUUAUAAAGGCUAUUAUACACCUUAUUAAUAACUAUAU
rfam:Glomerella graminicola M1.001 genomic scaffold supercont1.23, whole genome shotgun sequence.